rnacentral:rRNA from 1 species
GGGUCAGUAGGUCGGUCGUGCCACCGGUACGUACUGGUCUCACUGAUUCCUCCUUCCUGAAGAACCGUAAUGCCAUUAAUUUGGUGUUGCGGGGAAACAGGACUGUUACUUUGAAAAAAUUAGAGUGUUUAAAGCAAGCUAACGCUUGAAUACAUUAGCAUGGAAUAAUGAAAUAGGACGAUCGACCCUAUUUUGUUGGUUUCUAGGAUUGACGUA